rnacentral:rRNA from 1 species
CCUGAAGCUGGCCACCGCACAAUCGCCGCUGCGCCACUGCGGCCGACCUGCGCGGGCAAAGCUAGAAAGUAUAACCCCUCGGCUUUACUCCGCCCACCUCACCUCACGUAUGCGUCAACGGGCGUCGAUGUGCAGUGACGUCUGCGAGACGAAGUGUGCUACUAGUAGAAGUUUGGUAGCAGCCGCUAUAUGUAACAGUCGCAGCGCUAGCCUAGCCAACGCCUAACGUCAGUGGGAGGGCAGGCCUUUAUGAACAGCCUCAUCCACGGUUUUAGAAGAAGGUAACGAAGUCGUAAAGGCAAUAAGUUAGAGAGAGCACACGUGUUGCCUCUUUCCCGUCGCUCUGCCUCCGCCGGUUCAUCUUCUCGGUUCUUUGACUACCGCCCUCGGCUCUCGCGCGCCGGCCGCGGAGGCCACGACGGCACCUGCCACGCCGAGGUCCACGAGCGCGAGCCCCGGCGGACGCUGGAGAGCGUCGCGGCGCUGCCGUGGCACUUGGCGAAGGAGAAGAGCGAGCAGCUGGCGGUCUGGGGCCGCUCCGGCGCGGGCCUGCGCGAGCCGCAGGCGAGGCGGCUGCAGCAACAGCUGCGGCGGUCCUUGGAGACCCGCGCGCAGAAGAGGGGCAGGCACCCAUUUGGGCUCCGCCGCGGCGAGGGCCAGCAGCACAUGACAGUGCCACCGCCAAAACGCGACGAGAGGCGCAGCAGGCGCGGGGACCUGCGGUACACAGCGGCGAAGACGGCGCUCGACCCGCGGCACCAGCAGAGGCAGUUGAUGGCUGCGCGCGGGCUCGUGGCAGUGGGGCGUCGGAUGCUACUGACGCGCCUACACGAGUCGAUGGAACCGUGGCGCCCGGAGGGACGGCUGUAGCCGCAGGGCCAGCUAGAGAGGGCGACGAAGGAGCGGCCCCUGUCGCGGCCGCCGUUGUAGCGAGUGGUGCACCGGGUGGCUACCUGGAGGAGCCGGCGACAACGAAGACUAUUGGGACAGGCGGAGCGGCCGUAGUAGGACGACGUCGGCAUGAAGCCGCCGCUCCUCGCGUGCCUUCGUCUCGACUCCGACCUCCCGCACCCCGGCCACCACUUGUACGCGGCGAGCCUAACCAGGACCUUCCGCAAGGACGGCCUCCCCCGGCUAGCCUUGGUGGGCCGCCGCGUACACUGGCCACUCCGCACAGGCCUCGGGCUCAACGGCCUCCUCAAGGGCGGCCGCUACCACCACCAACCUCCCGAGCUGGGCGACGUCCUGACCGUCGCCGCCAUGCGGCGGUACGACGUCGCCUUCCCCUUCCGCCACGUCGACCACCUCAAAGGCCUGCGGUAGGUACCGAAGAUGUACAAGGGAUUCGAGGGGCUGCGGCCCUUCGAGCAGUUGCUGCAAUUCUUGAAGUACCUUUGGCGGUGCAGGCUGGUAAUUAGGCGACACAUCAGCUGAGUCGAGCAUACGUCGGAGCGGCCGCUCUCGAGGUGUUCGCUCAAACUCUACUAGCGCCACGUACCUUGUUUCGAAAAAAUGCCUUAACGAUUAACAGUCGGCCUACUUUUAUUAAGCAAAAGUAGACAAAAAAGUCGGCGCUCUAGAGACAGGACUCUAAGCACAACCCAAAAAAGGCAACCGAGUCAGCUGACGAAAAGGAAUAGCCCGGGCGAUUUAAAAGCUCCUCUGGGCAAUAAAAGAGAGGAGGCCACUGUGGCGGCCAGAAGGGACAUCGACGGAAACAGGGAAGGGAAGAGUAAAGAUCGUGCGUUGGAACUCAUCUCGAGUCUCUCUCCCUCUCUGCGCCCACUAGACCUCGAGGGGAGGGGCGAGCUAACUCAUCCAACCACCAGUCCGCCGGCCACGAGAGGGUGGGUCGACGUAGCGGCGUCGAGUGCGAGCUCCAGACGACGUAGAGGGCCGGGGACGGAGGGAGGGGGCGGGCGACGUAGAUAACAAGAGAAAAACCCUAAAAGGUAACACAACAAAAUGAGGAGUCUAUCGACCGCGAGUCUAGACAAAAAAUAAAGGAGAAAACUAACGGACGCUAUCGAGGAGCGCCUAAAAUCUACAGACACCAACGCGACAAGCACGAGAACUUUAGUCUUAAGUAAAACGAACACACUCUCGAACCUAAAACUUAAAGUAGACGAUACAUACCGGCAAAUCUAAAACGGACAUCCACACACUAAUAAGACGAUACCCCAACAACUAACUAAGCCGGUCGAGCAAGACAACAACUACAUCCACGUUUACGACUUUAGCUUGUGGGUCCUAUUGAGACCUCGAGGGACAAGCAAACUUAAGAGAACCAGAGAAAACACACCUACAUCACAAUCUAGGGGACCGGCAAAAUCUAAAAGAGACUUAACACAAUCGUGAAAUAUAUCUCUACGCCCAUCACAAAUAACAACACAAAGUCAUCCGUCAUUUGAAUGAUAACAACGAGACAUUAACAUCGGUGUAAAUCCCAAGGUUUAGUGUAAUUUCAAUGGUUUAAUGAAAUAAUAAAUCCACAACAUCAAAGUUAAACCCAAUCAUCAAAGUCAACAUUUAAAAGUGGUUUCAAAAUCAUCUUAUGAUAUAGUGUCACGUACUCGACACGUACAAAUGUCACAUUUAGAGAGACAUUAAUAUGACAAUAACCUCACAUAAAAGUGGCAUUGAGUCACCAUAUCAAACAGAGGCAAAGUCGUAUUAAAGAUACCUAAUAGUAACAUUAAUGUCACGUAAUAUUAAAAUAACAAAUCACAUUUAGAGAAAAUGGGACAAAUAAUCUGACAUUAGAGGUCUCAUAGAACGUCAUUCUUUAAAAUAACGUUAACGUCACAUAAAAAGGUAACAUAGAUGCAACAAUCAAAUUAAAGCCACAUUAAUGGGAUAGAAUAGUUACUCAUAUGUGACAUUUAGCGUCACCUUAAAAUCACAUUUAGAGUAAAACAUUAAUGACACAUAAAAGGUAACAUUGAUUUAACCAAUCACAUUAAAGUCAUAUUAAUGGGAUAUAACAAUCACUAAUAUGUGGCAUUUAACAUCACCAUAAAUCACACUAACGUGACAUUAAACCCACACUAAAGUGACAUACAAAUCACACUAAUAUCACAUUAAGGUGACAUUAAAGUCACACUGAUGUAACAUGAAAGUCACACUAAUGUGACAUGAAGGCGACAUUAAAGUCACACUAAUGUGACAUUAAAGUCGCAUUAAUAUCACAUGAAGGUGACAUUAAAGUCACACUAAUGCGACAUAAAAGUCACACUAAUGUGACAUAAAAGUUACGCUAAUAUGACAUGAAAGUCACACUAAUAUCACAUGAAGGUGACAUAAAAGUCACACUAACGUGACAUGAAAGUCACGCUAAUAUCACAUGAAGGUGACAUUAAAGUCACACUAAUGUGACAUAAAAGUCACACUAACGUGACAUGAAAGUCACGCUAAUAUCACAUGAAGGUGACAUUAAAGUCACACUAAUGUGACAUGAAAGUCACACUAAUUUUACAUUAAAGUCACACUAAUGUGUCAUUAAAGACACACACGGGAACAACACAAAGGUAUAAAAUCCAAGCGAUCGAUGGAGGGUUAUCAAACAAUCGGAAGAAUCUACAAGGAGGGAUCUCAAAAUAAAAGAAACGAAUAGACAAAAACAACAACAGAACGAAAUACGAUUAGUUCGAAAACAAAAGAAAAGUCCCAUAACCUCACAACGGACGAGUAAAAAUAAUCAAGAAAAAAGAUCAAAUACAUAUUAUAGAGAACCAUCCGAGGAAUCCCAAAGCAAGUUACAUUAUAUAUAUAAAUCGAAUCAACUACACUAAAUAACAUAAAGAAGGCAUAAACUCAGAAAUAUGUAAAACAUUUAACGUGAAGAUACCGUCACAACAGUCAACUAGUCAUGUACGGAAGUCAAUAAACAAAUAAAGAACGGACGAGGUAAAAAACAUACGUAGACCAUAACACAUA